rnacentral:lncRNA from 1 species
UAGACUGUCGAAGUUGAGAUGUCCAAAUCGUAGAUGCCAUAGCCACGAAGAGUCAGUAUAGCAAGUCUUGAGACACUUUGCAACAUCAUUUUGAAUGUUCAAGAGGAACAUUCUAUUAUUUGACAUAGGCACCUUAGCAAUCAAGUUAUGUCUACAAUCUCUUAAGAAAAGACUAUGUUCUUUCAAGUGGAUGUCAUAGCCUUUCUCUAAUAAUUGUCCCAAGCUCAAAAUAUUUUUCUUCAUGUUAGGAACAUAAUAGACAUUGGAUAUGAAUUGAUGACUCCCAUUCUUUAAGCGUAUAAGAAUUUUACCUUUGCCUUUGACUGGUAUGUUUGAGUCAUCUCCAAAUGAGACAUUG